rnacentral:rRNA from 1 species
GACGAACGCUGGCGGCGUGCUUAACACAUGCAAGUCGAACGGAAAGGCCCUGCUUUUGUGGGGUGCUCGAGUGGCGAACGGGUGAGUAACACGUGAGUAACCUGCCCUUGACUUUGGGAUAGCUUCAGGAAACUGGGGCUAAUACCGGAUAGGAGCUCCUGCUGCAUGGUGGGGGUUGGAAAGUCUCGGCGGUUGGGGAUGGACUCGCGGCUUAUCAGCUUGUUGGUGGGGUAGUGGCUUACCAAGGCUUUGACGGGUAGCCGGCCUGAGAGGGUGACCGGCCACAUUGGGACUGAGAUACGGCCCAGACUCCUACGGGAGGCAGCAGUGGGGAAUAUUGCACAAUGGGCGGAAGCCUGAUGCAGCAACGCCGCGUGCGGGAUGACGGCCUUCGGGUUGUAAACCGCUUUCGCCUGUGACGAAGCGUGAGUGACGGUAAUGGGUAAAGAAGCACCGGCUAACUACGUG